CCGGAUUCCAAACAUUAAAGACCAAAUCUAAUACAGAACACAAAACUCUUGAACCUGCAACGUCUGCAUCAGGUUCAGUUUCAAGUUAACUCCUCAGUUUCAAUACGUCCAGUUAACUAACUUCAAGACAAAUCCAAAGAAGACUGGUAACACAUGAUCUUGAAUAAUUAAAGCUAUGAUGUUCUAAGGACAUUUUACAAAUAUUUAUGGAAUUUUUAAUGAAAGCCACUUUUACAUGCAAAAGUAUUGCUGUUAUGACUGGCAGAUGGAACUUUCUAAACUACACAAUACUGAUGGAAAACUGUGAAACUGAGAUGAGAAUUCACUCAUCUAUAUAGCCAAAGCUGUAAACAUGCAGUUUGAAGUCUACCUCCUACUACACAGAGCAAUUUUACCAUUACAGAGUCCAUUUUUACAGCUCACUUGGGGUCCAAAGAUCUUUUAUAAGUGAAAAUUCUUGUUUAAUACACAAUUUUCAUUCUAAAAACAAUAUUAUCAGCUUAGCAUAAUAAUAUUAGAUCCUAAACAACACCAUUUUAUUAUGAUAAUAAUCACAUUUAUUUUUUUGUUUUGAUUUUUAUCCUAAAACUAAUCCAUAAACAUUUUAUUUCCAGAGUUAAUUUUGAUUUUGUAUCCCACAUAUUCAAUUUGGUCUCUGAAUUUGGUGAGUUUCAUUUUUAAAGAAAUAAUAGGCAGUUCUGUUAUUCAACAUGCCUAAAAGCAGCUUAUAACAUUAUUCAAUAAGGAAGAGUGUACCGUUUUUGAAUUCUAGCAUUGUUUUAAGCACAAUGCUUCAAUGUCAGAGGAUGAACCUGAAGUUAAUGAAUGUAUUUACUGUGUUUUUUCUCAUUACAUCAUCAAAGAAAUGAAAUCUACAGUACAAGAUAUCUUACAGUACACAAUUAGUGUUUAGUGCAGUUCUUGUCAUAUGACAACAUUUCUGUACUCCGUUUAAGAGAGAAGGAAUAUAAAUGUCUGAAUACGAAAUAUCUAGCAGUAUUUCAGAAACACACGACACUGCUUGUGAUCUUUCAUGUUGUAUGUCAUUUUGGAAAUACUUUUAUCAAACUUGAAAAAUGUUGUUAAAAUAAUUUAUUACUGGUUUACAUGGUGACCUGACAAAAAAUUCACUCCAGAAAUGGGCCGGAUAAUGAUUUUUUUUUUUUUUACUCACUACAGUAUAACACAGUAUUGAUAGGUCUGCAGAAUUUAUCAUCAAUAAUAAGCUCACUGAAAUGUUCCUGUGGUCAUACUAU